rnacentral:rRNA from 1 species
AUAUACCGGAUAGAUCAAAGAUACUGGAAUGUUCCUUGAUCCAAAGCUCCGGCGUCCAAGGAUGGAUCUGCGGCCUAUCAGGUAGUAGUGGGUGUAACGUACCUACUAGCCUACGACGGGUACGGGUUGUGAGAGCAAGAGCCCGGAGAUGGAUUCUGAGACAUGAAUCCAGGCCCUACGGGGCGCAGCAGGCGCGAAAUCUUUACAAUGCAGGAAACUGCGAUAAGGGGACCCCGAGUGCCAGCAUCUAAUGCUGGCUGUCCAGCUGUGUAAAUAGCAGUUGUUAGCAAGGGCCGGGCAAGACCGGUGCCAGCCGCCGCGGUAACACCGGCGGCCCGAGUGGUAACCGAUUUUAUUGGGUUUAAAGGGUCCGUAGCCGGCCUGUUAAGUCUCUUGGGAAAUCUGGCGGCUCAAUCGUCAGGCGUUC